CGUGAGCAGGAUAAAUGCAUUUGUCUCUGUGUAUUUGCAUGUGUGGGUAUUUGCCUGGGCACUCGUAUCGUAAACUUUCUUAUGAGUUUCUAGUUUUGUGCUGAACAUCAAGAACCCUUAGAGAUGAGUUUCAGUGCACGUUAAGCCAACAGAAAGUUCAAAACUAUUUGAAUCUCUACGCCGACCCUGCAAUAAAACAAACGCCCAUAAAAGAAGAAACCGACCAAAUUAUUCAAAAUAUAAGAAAAGCGUGGAAACGUAUUGCUAAGAAAUUCAGCUGGGAAUGCCAAGAAAACAAUUCCGCUUUCUAAUUGAACCUUCACUGGGCUGGUCGCAGGGUGUUUGUGGAUGUGGCUGUCAUAAAACGUACCUCGAUGUUGUUAUUGGCUUCAUCGUUCAAACAAAACUGCCGGCUCCCCUUUUCAGCGCUGUGUGCAGUCAAUAAAUUGAAACGAAUUCAAUUGGCAGCGGAAUGUUUACAAGCGGACGGAGAAGACCAAGCCAGAGACAAACAAAUAAACAGGCGGACAAGCAAGCACACACCAUCGGACAGAAGACAUUGAAUCGAGAACAUGCCAUUGACAAACUGAAAAUAAACAAAUUCAUAAGUCUUGGCAUCCAUCCAUCAACCCUGGCAGCCUUCGACUCCACUUGCCAGACAUCGUUCAGCCUGGCCAGCAACCUCUUCAGUUAUCAAUGGUCAUUGGCGCUCUGUCCCAUUUACAUCCACAACCAUAUCCUCGGUAUCCGGCCUUUGUAGAGACAGGCCUACAUAGUACUUAUAUCGAUGGAUGUGCCCUCGCAAAUGUCAUUGGUAUAAUAAGCUGUUUGUUUUAAUGGCGCUUGUUUCUGGGCGCACUCUUGCCGUUUUGGCGCACAAACAAAAAUAAUGACACAGCUCCGAGCGAGCUCUUUACCGGGCCGACUCUUGGGCGGACAGCUGGAUGGUCGGACAAAACACAGAAAACAACAUGCCAUCAUAACAACGACUUCAUAAAUUCGGCUUGCGUAUUUAUUUAUAAUAAUUUAUUUCAAUAACAACGCCAGCCAUCUUUCUCCAUCUGUAGCUUCAACCCUAGCCGCAGUCCCCGCUUAGCUCCAGUCCCCUCAUUUCCAAGCAGCCGAGCAUUCAGUCUCGUGGCCGUUGUUUCUUUUCCUCACUUCAAAUGACAUUUCAAAUAUUUGUACAGUUUUCGUUGUCGUUGGGGGACUGCAUAAAUAGUCGAAUAUCAAUUUAUGCCUUUCUUAAAUGGGAAAAUUUGAGAUUCGACUAUUUGGGGUCCGGCCUAGUUUAACACUUUUGUAGGAAAUAUCUUUUUUAUACCCUGUACCGAUUAAAAUUGGGUAAAGAUGGGUAUACUAUUUUUAUGUUACCAAAAACUCGAGUGUCCUCUUAUACCAUAUCUUAGAGAUUAAAGAAACACCAAACUCCGUAUGUUAUUUUUAUAA